rnacentral:rRNA from 1 species
GCCUGGGUAGUAUAUAUGCAAAUAUGAAACUCAAAGAAAUUGACGGGGACCUGAACAAGUGGUGGAGCAUGUUGCUUAAUUCGAUAAUACACGAAAAACCUUACCGAGGCUUGUAAUCUUUUGCAAAGCUAUAGAAAUAUAGUGGAGGUUAUCAGAAUGACAGGUGGUGCAUGGCUGUCGUCAGCUCGUGUCUUGAGAUGUUUGGUUAAGUCCCGUAACGAGCGCAACCCUUCUCUUUAGUUAAAUAGUUCUAAAGUGACUGAAUCGUAAGAUAUAGGAAGGCU